UGCCAUCGCUGGUGAAACAGGUACCCUAAU
rnacentral:piRNA from 1 species